rnacentral:lncRNA from 1 species
UUCAAGCAUGUCAACAUCAGAAGCCUCCUCCCUAAGUUUGUUUUACUCACUGCUUUAGCACACUCUGCUAACCCUGAUGUCCUUGCUGUGUCUGAAUCCUGGCUCAGGAAGGCCACCAAAAAUUCAGAGAUUUCCAUACCCAACUAUAACAUCUUCCGUCAAGAUAGAACUGCCAAAGGGGGAGGAGUUAGCCUGCAAAGUAAUGUCAUACUUUCCAGGUCCAUACCCAAACAGUUCGAACUACUAAUUUUGAAAAUUACUCUCUCCAGAAAUAAGUCUCUCACGGUUGCCGCCUGCUACCGAAACCCCUCAGCUCCCAGCUGUGCCCUGGACACCAUUUGUGAAUUGAUCGCCCCCCAUCUAGCUUCAGAGUUUGUUCUGUUAGGUGACCUAAACUGGGAUAUGCUUAACACCCCGCCAGUCCUACAAUCUAAGCUAGAUGCCCUCAAUCUCACACAAAUCAUCAAGGAACCCACCAGGUACAACCCUAACUCUGUAAACAAGGGCACCCUCAUAGACGUCAUCCUGACGAACUGGCCCUCCAAAUACACCUCCGCUGUCUUCAACCAGGAUCUCAGCGAUCACUGCCUCAUUGCCUGUAUCCGCUACGGAGCCGCAGUCAAACGACCACCCCUCAUCACUGUCAAACGCUCCCUAAAACACUUCUGUGAGCAGGCCUUUCUAAUCGACCUGGCCCGGGUAUCCUGGAAGGACAUUGACCUCAUCCCGUCAGUUGAGGAUGCCUGGUCAUUCUUUAAAAGUAACUUCCUCACCAUUUUAGAUAAGCAUGCUCCGUUCAAAAAAUGCAGAACUAAGAACAGAUACAGCCCUUGGUUCACCCCAGACCUGACUGCCCUCGACCAGCACAAAAACAUCCUGUGGCGGACUGCAAUAGCAUCGAAUAGUCCCCGUGAUAUGCAACUGUUCAGGGAAGUCCGGAACCAAUACACGCAGUCAGUCAGGAAAGCUAAGGCCAGCUUCUUCAGGCAGAAGUUUCCAUCCUGUAGCUCCAACUCCAAAAAGUUCUGGGACACUGUGAAGUCCAUGGAGAACAAGAGCACCUCCUCCCAGCUGCCCACUGCACUGAGGCUAGGUAACACGGUCACCACUGAUAAAUCCAUGAUUAUCGAAAACUUCAAUAAGCAUUUCUCAACGGCUGGCCAUGCCUUCCGCCUGGCUACUUCAACCUCGGCCAACAGCUCCGCCCCCCCUGCAGCUCCUCGCCCAAGCCUCUCCAGG